rnacentral:rRNA from 1 species
AUUGAACGCUGGCGGCAGGCCUAACACAUGCAAGUCGAGCGGAUGAAGGGAGCUUGCCCCUGGAUUCAGCGGCGGACGGGGGAGUAAUGCCUAGGAAUCUGCCUGGUAGUGGGGGAUAACGUCCGGAAACGGGCGCUAAUACCGCAUACGUCCUGAGGGAGAAAGAGGGGGAUCUGCGGACCUCACGCUAUCAGAGGAGGCUAGGUCGGAUUAGCUAGUUGGUGGGGUAAAGGCCUACCAAGGCGACGAUCCGUAACUGGUCUGAGGGGAUGAUCAGUCACACUGGAACUGAGACACGGUCCAGACUCCUACGGGAGGCAGCAGUGGGGAAUAUUGGACAAUGGGCGAAAGCCUGAUCCAGCCAUGCCGCGUGUGUGAAGAAGGUCUUCGGAUUGUAAAGCACUUUAAGUUGGGAGGAAGGGCAGUAAGUUAAUACCUUGCUGUUUUGACGUUACCAACAGAAUAAGCACCGGCUAACUUCGUG